GCAAACUUGGUCAUUUAGAGGAAGUAAAAGUCGUAACAAGGUUUCCGUAGGUGAACCUGCGGAAGGAUCAUUAUCGAAUUGUAAGGACUCCAGUUGUCGCUGGCUCCCUCUGGGAGCAUGUGCACGCUGGGUUCAAACUCUUCAUUCUUAACCUCCUGUGCACCUUUUGUGGACUGUGGUCAGAUAACCUGUCGAGGUAACACUCGGUCUUGCGGAUCGCGCCUAACCCGCGCUUUCUGCUGCAUCUGACUGCGGUUCAUGUCUUACUACAAACUAUUCAUUAAAUCUAGAAUGUCUAAAGGUUGGGACUCGCGCCCUUCUUAAAUGUAAAUACAACUUUCAACAACGGAUCUCUUGGCUCUCGCAUCGAUGAAGAACGCAGC
rnacentral:misc_RNA from 1 species